rnacentral:rRNA from 1 species
UUCUCCUACGGGACGCAGCAGUGGGGAAUAUUGCACAAUGGGGGAAACCCUGAUGCAGCGACGCCGCGUGGGCGACGAAGCGCUCCGGCGCGUAAAGCCCUGUCAGCAGGGAAGAAAAAAGACAGUACCUGACCAAGAAGCCCCGGCUAACUACGUGCCAGCAGCCGCGGUAAUACGUAGGGGGCAAGCGUUAUCCGGAUUCACUGGGCGUAAAGGGAGCGCAGGCGGCACGGCAAGACUGGUGUGAACGCCCGGGUC